GUUUAAUUGGACUCAUAUGUUCAUUCGCAAUUUCCCGCUAGUUGUUUUCUUCAGAAUUCAGGUGCGAGGAUACAAGUGAGUUGGCUUCCAUUCGGACGUCUACGAUGAGACGAUGGACAGGGUGAAAGGCCUCGGCGUUGAUACAGAGUGCACUGGUGGUGGCAGAAUACAGCAUGACCCCAGUGCCGAGGUCAUCAAAGUGUACAGCUACUCACAGGGGUUUGGGAAGGCAGACCACAGCAAGACUGUAGAAAUUCUGAAGACUGCAUAUCCUGUU